rnacentral:rRNA from 1 species
UACGAAGGGGGCUAGCGUUGCUCGGAAUCACUGGGCGUAAAGGGUGCGUAGGCGGGUUUUUAAGUCAGGGGUGAAAUCCUGGAGCUCAACUCCAGAACUGCCUUUGAUACUGAAGAUCUUGAGUCCGGGAGAGGUGAGUGGAACUGCGAGUGUAGAGGUGAAAUUCGUAGAUAUUCGCAAGAACACCAGUGGCGAAGGCGGGUCUCUGGGCCGAUACUGACGCUGAGGAGCGAAAGCGUGGGGAGCAAACAGG